UCUCAGAGGAGGCAGGGGAGACACCGUGAUCACAAAGAUGGUUUUCCCAGGGCAAGGCUCCCCCAUUGUACUCUGGGUUUGCUGACCCCUGAAAUUUCCACAAAUAUGGGAAACUCAGCUGCAAAAUUUCUGGUAGUAGUGUACUGCAUUCAUGAGCUCCCCUG